UAGCCUUUUAACCAUCAUUCUAGUGUCGGGGUGUAGGACAGUUAGUGUUGAAUAUGUUUACUUGUAAUAAAAACUAAAUCUUUGGUAGUUUGGAUCAUUUAAUUUGUCGAUUAAAAUAUUGAAGGUAGAAAAAAUGAUAGAUAUUAAUAAAAUGUGGGUAUUUGUAAAAAGGGGUAGAGACGAUCGCGGGGUCGAGGAAGCGCGUUUAUAAAAACACUGACAUUUGCUCAAACCAGCCUUUCUCCGAGAGGACAGGGUGUGGCCGAGUCCUUGGCACCCAGCCAGGGUUUCUUCGGAAUGGCGGAGGUUGCAGCUAAAUUGUGAGUAACUCUUAGAACAGUUUUUAUGAUAUCAUCAUGACAUUGUGUAGGUAUCAUGAACCUAUGUUCAAUUUUUGUGAAAAAGUUGUGGAUUGUACAAGGGGGAAAAUUUAUACCCCUAAGUAUAAAUUUUCAGCAGUUAACACUAUUCUCAAGAACCCACGGAGACGAACCAACAAUUAAAAUGGAUUAAAAUUCAGUCGCUCGCUUUAUCCCAGAAUUCAGCAAAAGAAGUUUUUGCCUUUGUGUAAAGUUAAUACUGUAUUGUGUGUUCCGUAGGCUGCAAGCUGUUGUUGGCAGGUCGGCCGCACAGCUCGCCUCCGCCGCCCCUCAGGUGCUUUGCUCAGGUGCCACGUAGACCUGACCUUCAAACCUGUACAACAAAACAAAAAUCUGAUGAGCUGUGUGGCCUCGGUCCUCGAAGAAGAGU